GAUGAACGCUAGCGGCAGGCCUAAUACAUGCAAGUCGAACGAUACCAGAGAGCUUGCUUUCUGGGAAAGUGGCGCACGGGUGCGUAACGCGUAUGCAACCUACCUUAAUCAGGGGGAUAGCCUCUCGAAAGAGAGAUUAACACCGCAUAAAAUCACACUUCGGCAUCGAAGAAUGAUCAAAUAUUUAUAGGAUUAAGAUGGGCAUGCGUGACAUUAGCUAGUUGGUAAGGUAACGGCUUACCAAGGCUACGAUGUCUAGGGGAUCUGAGAGGAUGACCCCCCACACUGGUACUGAGACACGGACCAGACUCCUACGGGAGGCAGCAGUAAGGAAUAUGGUCAAUGGGGGCAACCCUGAACCAGCCAUGCCGCGUGCAGGAAGGCGGCCCUACGGGUUGUAAACUGCUUUUAUACGGGAAUAAAUCUCGCUACGUGUAGUGAGUUGAAUGUACUGUAAGAAUAAGGAUCGGCUAACUCCGUGCCAGCAGCCGA
rnacentral:rRNA from 1 species